rnacentral:tRNA from 1 species
GAGCUGCUAGUCCAAUAAAGACAGCUGAUUUCGACUCAGCAAAUUGUGGUUUAACUCCAUAGCACCUCU